AUUGAACGCUGGCGGCAUGCCUUACACAUGCAAGUCGAACGGUAACAGGUCUUCGGAUGCUGACGAGUGGCGAACGGGUGAGUAAUACAUCGGAACGUGCCCGAGAGUGGGGGAUAACGAGGCGAAAGUUGUGCUAAUACCGCAUACGUACUGAGGUAGAAAGUGGGGGACCUUCGGGCCUCCAGCUGUUCGAGCGGGCGCCGUCUGAUUAGCUAGUAGGUGAGGCAAAGGCUCACCUAGGCGACGAUCAGUAGCGGGUCUGAGAGGAUGAUCCGCCACACUGGGACUGAGACACGGCCCAGACUCCUACGGGAGGCAGCAGUGGGGAAUUUUGGACAAUGGGCGAAAGCCUGAUCCAGCCAUGCCGCGUGUCUGAAGAAGGCCUUCGGGUUGUAAAGGACUUUUGUCAGGGAGGAAAUCCCUAGUGCUAAUAACACUGGGGGAUGACAGUACCUGAAGAAUAAGCACCGGCUAACUACGUGCCAGCCGCCGCCGUAA
rnacentral:rRNA from 1 species